rnacentral:rRNA from 1 species
UACAGAGGCCCCGAGCAUUAUCCGGAGUCACUGGGCGUAAAGGGUGUGUAGGCGGCUUUGCUAGUCUUUUGUGAAAGAUCCCGGGCUUAACCCGGGAGACGCAGGGGAAGCGGCAUCGCUUUGAGGGUAUGAGAGGUAAAGGGAACUCAUGGUGUAGGGGUGAAAUCCGUUGAUAUCAUGGGGAGCACCAAAUGCGAAGGCACUUUACUGGCAUACUCCUGACGCUGAAACACGAAAGCGUGGGAAUCGAAUGGG